rnacentral:tRNA from 1 species
GUAUAGAAGUACACAGUGGGUAAGGAGCUGGUCUUGUAACCUAAAGGUCCCAGGUUCGAUUCCUGGGUUGGGCA